CGUGGGUAACCUGCCCAAGAGACUGGGAUAACACCUGGAAACAGAUGCUAAUACCGGAUAACAACACUAGACGCAUGUCUAGAGUUUAAAAGAUGGUUCUGCUAUCACUCUUGGAUGGACCUGCGGUGCAUUAGCUAGUUGGUAAGGUAACGGCUUACCAAGGCAAUGAUGCAUAGCCGAGUCGAGAGACUGAUCGGCCACAUUGGGACUGCGACACGGCCCAAACUCCUACGGAAGGCAGCAG
rnacentral:rRNA from 1 species